rnacentral:sRNA from 1 species
AUCAAUGGAACAGCUAUUCCCUCGAAGGUGUACAUGGUUGUAUGUAAUGAACAAUUGCUUGCUAUCAAUAUCUGGUAAAGCUUCUCAGCUUUAUUCCCAUAAUUUACCAGGGCUUUUUGAUUAUGCAAGACAAAUGCAAAAGUUACCUGUUGCUAUUCCAGCACACAAACUCCCUGACAGAAUACUGCCAAGGUAAGGGUACAUCCUUAGAGGCAAUAUGAUAUUAACAGUUCAUUCUCAUAAAUAUUUAUGCUACAGAAAGUGAAAGAGCACUCAGUUUGGGUUAAUAAAAAUCAUGAUGAAAAAAUAAUAAGUAAUAUACAUUAACAAGUGCUUAGUGAUCACACUCUUGUUCUAAAAUUUUUCUACUUUGUACUUUCAAAUUAUAUCAGACAUUUUCUCUCUGAAUUUUUUAUUCUUUUUCUGCAAGUUUAAAACUAGUUUUUUUCUUGUACUUUGCCAUAAUUUUACAUUGCAUUUAGUGCCUUUGCUUUUGACAUAUGUGUUAACUUUAUAAAAUUUUUCUCAAAGUUUCUAUACCUAGAAAAUCAAAAUGAUUUAUUG